CUCAGCAGUACCCAUUCCCUAGCUCCCUGCCCACCAAAUUGUCCAUUAAAAACCCUAAUCUCUGAGCCUUCAAGGAAACUGACUUGAGGAGUAACACCAUCUUCUGUGUGCCUGGCCUUGUGUCAAAUUUUUCUCUACUGCAAUGCUGAGGUCUCAGUAAAUCGAUUUUUGUCUGUGCAGUGGGCUGGAAGGAGUCAACAGGGACAAGGUGUCACCAUGUUGCCCAGGCUGGUCUUGAACUCCUGGGAUCAAGGAAUCCUCCUGCCUCAGCCUCCCAAAGUGCUAGAAUUAGAGACGUGAGGCACCACACCACCUACCUUUAUAUUUAAGCAACAGUUUGACUGCAUACAAAAUUCCUGGGUCACAUCUCUUUGCUGGAGGAUUUUAUUGAACUGCUGGGCUCCAGGCUAAACUUCACCCUCAAGCCUGGAACCUCAGUCCUAAGUGAAACAGCUGACCCCAUUUUUUCCACCCAAAUGAUUGCUUUUUUGGCCCGCUCCACCCCCUGUCAUAUGCCUAUAAAUACCAGACCAGCUAGCAGAACAAAAGGAAGAAAAAGAGCAACCUCAGCAGCUGAUGCAAGUGGUCGGGGAUACAAGCUGCUGAGCAUCAGGAAUACAUGCAGCUGAGCAUCGGAAACUACAGAUAGACACGGCUUCAGAGAAAGAGCAGUUUCUUCCCAUACCAUCCCCUUUCCAAUUCCCCAUCCUGCUGAGAGCCACUUUUAUCACACAGUAAAAUCUUCCAUAUACACUA
rnacentral:lncRNA from 1 species